GACGAACGCUGGCGGCGUGCUUAACACAUGCAAGUCGAACGGAAAGGCCCUGCUUUUGUGGGGUGCUCGAGUGGCGAACGGGUGAGUAACACGUGAGUAACCUGCCCUUGACUUUGGGAUAACUUCAGGAAACUGGGGCUAAUACCGGAUAGGAGCUCCUGCUGCAUGGUGUGGGUUGGAAAGUUUCGGCGGUUGGGGAUGGACUCGCGGCUUAUCAGCUUGUUGGUGGGGUAGUGGCUUACCAAGGCUUUGACGGGUAGCCGGCCUGAGAGGGUGACCGGCCACAUUGGGACUGAGAUACGGCCCAGACUCCUACGGGAGGCAGCAGUGGGGAAUAUUGCGCAAUGGGCGGAAGCCUGAUGCAGCAACGCCGCGUGCGGGAUGACGGCCUUCGGGUUGUAAACCGCUUUCGCCUGUGACGAAGCGUGAGUGACGGUAAUGGGUAAAGAAGCACCGGCUAACUACGUG
rnacentral:rRNA from 1 species